GGUAACCCCCUUGGAUCCCCUUCCACACUGUGGGAGGUUUGUUCUUUUGCUCUUUGCAAUAAAGCUUGCUGCUGCUCACUCUUUGGGUCCAGACUGUCUUUAUGAGCUAUAACACUCACCGGGAAGGUCUGCAGCUUCACUCCUGAAGCCAAGGAGACCACGAACCCACCGGGAGGAAGGAACAACUACAGACACGCCGGCUUAAGAGCUGUAGCACUCACUGCGAAGGUCCGCAGCUUCACUCUUGAGCCAGAGACCACGAACCCACCAGAAGGAAGAAACUCCAAACACAUCCGAACAUCAGAAGGAAAAAACUCCAGACACGCCGCCUUUAAGAACUGCAACACUGCGAGGGUCCGCGGCUUCAUUCUUGAAGUCAGUGAGACCAAGAACCCACCAAUUCCAGACACACUACCAAAGGCAGAGGGGAGCUCCUAGACAAAGAUAUUUUGCUUACAAAUGGAACAUAUCAAAUCAAGCUUUUGUGAACUUGAGGGAAGAAACAAAGAAUAUGAAGCCUAAAUGGAAGUGUCAGGAAAUGGUCGCCUUGCGGACAAGGAAACAGCAGCCUGGAAGGCCAGGAGAGGGCAGACUACCCACCUAACCCUCUGCAGAAUUUUGUGUGGACCCUGGAGACCAGAAACUAACUUCUCCUGCAGGCUGGAGUGUAGUGGUACGAUCUUGGCUUACUGCAACCUCCACCUCCUGGGUUCAAGCGGCCCUGUCAUCUCAGCCUCCUGAGUAGCUGGGGUUACAGAGCUCCUUUCUGACAACUUGCAAUUGAUCCAACAUUUGAAACCUUAUGCAGGAGCCGGACAGCUUGGUUUUGAAUUAUAAUCUUACAAAUUACUGGCUGUGUGUUAAAUCUUUAAAUUACUGGCUGUGUGACUUUGUGUAAGUACCUUCACUUCUCUGUGCCUUAGUUUAUGUUAUGUAAAAGGUAUGAUAAUAGUAUCUAUCUUGGAAUUUAGUUUUUAAAUAUAAAAUUUAUAUAUCUACAACAGCUGAAUAAGUGUUAUCUAUCUUUAUUACCAUUGCAAUUAUUAUUAUAAUUAUUUGUAUAUGUCGGGCUCAUAAAGCUCUUAGCUUUGCAAAACUGUCUGAGAAAGUUUGCUUUUCUUUGCAUUCAUUGGGAAAUUAACUUUUCUACACAAUAAUGUUUUUAAGGCAUGGACCUGUAAAAUGUUUAAUUGGUGUGGCUUCAAAGUAUAGAAAUUGUAAAGUAGGAAAUAAUUAUACACAACUAUCAAACCAAUAAUAAAGGUCAAUAAAUAUUCAAACAGUAUUAAUAUAA
rnacentral:lncRNA from 1 species